CAUUUAGCAACAAAUGAACUUCCUCUGAAAAUUAGUUGGCAACACUGAGCGGAAUGCGGCGAAAGCACCUACAGCUGCCGACGACUCGAAUGUGCUGCUCUGAAAUGCAGGACAGAUGCCAGGGAAGUCCAGAAGACUGACACGUGAGUCUGCAUUACUUGUGACAUGACUUCCUGACUUCAAGGCAUCUGAACAGAAUCUCCACUUGGAGUUCCAUUCUGGAAUAGGAAUGUGUGCUGCAUUCAGACCACGAGACUGAUGCGCUUUGUGAAAAUCCAGGGUUUGAGUGCUGUGGUCAGUGGAAUUGCAGCGUUGGACUCCAACAUACUGUUGACUGUCCUGAAACAAGAUGGCUGUUCUGAGCUGCUCUAAGCUAUGCAGGUUCUUCUGUUUGUGGCUGAACAAGGAGCCGUGAUGCCAACUAGACUGGUCCUGAUGGUGGUACCAGACUGGUCACUAGAAGAUGCCUGUUACUGAACUACCACAAGGUUUCUGCCCCCCUGGUUGAGGUCCUAGUGUCUGCAGUGUUUGGAAAGAGCUCGUUGGCUGCUGAAGUGUUGCUGUGCUGGUGGAGCGGGAAGCUCUCCUGUUGUACACUGGCAAGCCCUCUUGGUCAGCAAGGAAGAGGGACGUCUUGUUGGAACUGGGGAAAACCAGGCCAAGUCAAUUCAACCCCAUGACUGUUUUGAUGUGUAAAUAAAUCUACAAAUUAAUGCUUGUCUAAUUUUUCUUUCUCGGUGGUAGUAAAUCAGACUU